UGGCUGCAGCUGUGUUUCUAAGGAUAAGAGCUGUCCCGCGGGAUUCGGCAUCAUGUAGACUUUCAGAUGUGCAUUGUUCCAGUGAGACAAGAGUCAUCCAUCUCAUACAGGAUGAGCAGAACUAAGCCACUGCCCAGUCACCAGGUGUAUUUAGAGGGAGACACGCACUGGAUUUCUUUAGAAGCAACAUUUUACCUACCCCACCUGCUCCUUUGUGCAGCGUCUCUGGAUACAGUGUGGGCUGCCAGGUACAGUCAGUAAACACAGGGUUUGGUUUGGAUCCCUGUACAAGGCAAGUGACCUUUAGAAACUUGUGAACUCCUUCACGCAGUGCCUGAUUCUCAGAGCCAUGUCAGCCAACUUCCCGUGCCAAGGAUGCAACUGUCACUCCCCUCGAGGCUCGCAGACGUAGAGGCGAGCACCCGUUCAACGCUGCUUGCAGCUUUAAUUCAGAUUGUAUUUCUGCUUGAUGAAAAUGAAAAUAACUUGGUAAAGCUACAAUGACUAUGGUUUUUUUCUGUUACACUUUGCAAGUUCUUUAUUGACUCAUGUCAAACUGAAAAAUCAAUUAACUUAAACAUAAUAAUUUUGUUUCAAACCAGCAAGGUUAUGUGUCAGCAUUGAAGUACCUUAACAUUUUGCACAUUGUUUUAAAGUUAGUUAUUCCAAAUAAA